GCUCCUUCCUGAAAACUGAAACCCAUGUCUGAUUGACAUGGGGAUAUUAAUACGUUGGACACAGGAAUUGAAAGUUCACUGGAACUGUUUGCAGAAUUCUUCCUGUUGCUUACCAAAAUCUUCAGAAAUUGUAGAUCUCUUUAAAUCUUACAAGAAGUCUGAUGUAUGUAGACAUUUUGUAUUCAAGGGAUUAAAAACAAAGCCACAAUUAUCACUAUAAAUAUGAUGCUAUCAGUUGUUUAUUGUAUCUGCCUCAUUAUAAAUUUCAUGGAAACAUGUUAUACAUAUCCAAGGAUAACAAUGCCAGAAAAACAACAGGCUCUUAGAAGUACAUUUAGG